rnacentral:lncRNA from 1 species
UGAAAUUGUUAGGCUGCAGGCUUGUGUUGCUGAAUUAAAAACUGAACGAGACGGACUUAGAGCUGAGCUAGCAAAGGAAAAGGAGAAGAGUGAUGUAAUGCUUCAGAAUAUGUUCAACAUUCUCCAAACCAAGACCUCUAGUUCCUCCAAGCCCUAAAGCCAGUUUAAAAUGCCCCCUCAGUGACCCAGAUUCGGGACUUUUUUUUUUCUGUUUUAACUCAUGGAUGUUUAUUUUUCUUUUUGUGGCCUGUUUUGUAGAAACACCUCC